rnacentral:rRNA from 1 species
GACGAACGCUGGCGGCAUGCCUAAUACAUGCAAGUCGAGCGAACAGAUGAAGUGCUUGCACUUCUGACGUUAGCGGCGAACGGGUGAGUAACACGUAAGGAAUCUACCUAUAAGCGGGGGAUAACAUGCGGAAACGGGUGCAAAUACCGCAUAAUAUCUUCUUUCGCAUGGAAGAAGAUUGAAAGACGGUUUCGGCUGGCACUUGUAGAUGGACCCGCGGGGCAUUGGUUAGUUGGUGAGGUAAUGGCUCACCAAGACGAUGACGCGUAGCCGACCUGAGCGGGGGAACGGCCACACUGGGACUGAGACACGGCCCAGACUCCUACGGGAGGCAGCAGUAGGGAAUCUUCCGCAAUGGGCGAAAGUCUGACGGAGCAACGCCGCGUGAGUGAAGAAGGUUUUCGGAUCGUAAAACUCUGUUGUUAGAGAAGAACAAGGAUGAGAGUAACUGCUCGUCCCUUGACGGUAUCUAACCAGAAAGCCAUGGCUAACUACGUGCCAGCCGCCGCAGUAA